GCUGCAUUUUGUAAUUGGUGGUAUAUCUAAAAACAGAUUGAAAAAGCUGCAGAUCUGCUUUUAUUAUAAGAAAGGGAAAUGACCAAUCAGAGGCAACUUGAAGGUUUGAUUUUGAACUCAAGUUCUCCAGACUGCGAGCCAGGGAGUCCACAGAAACGCAGUGCACACAGAUCUGAAGUGGGCUAUAUGGACGCACGUAAGCGAAUGUUUGCCAAUAGGUACAUUUAUAGUUGGAGGAGUAGGCAGGUACGCUCUGCGGAUCUAGCAUAAUUGGGAAUGUUUCUGCCAUUAGUUCUAAAAGUGCCGAUUCCAAAUAGAAAUUAGAACUUUUAUAAAAUACAUUUACAUGAGAUGCUCCUGACACAUAAAGCACUUUGGCAAGCUGAAGUGCUAUGUGUGUCUGUAGUAUCCCUGGAAAUUGAAUUAAACAGAGAUGGCCCAAGUUACAAUCUUUUUACAAAUGUGCUUCUCUCAUCCUCUUGCCCCUUUGUCAUCCCUGUGUCUCCUCCCAUGGAGCACCAUUCUUCAGAAUCCUGUUGUCUCCUGUUAUCAGAUCUCUUCACCUUACACUUCCCUAAUGAUUCC